CCUUCGGGGUACACGAGCGGCGAACGGGUGAGUAACACGUGAGCAACCUGCCCCUGACUCCGGGAUAAGCCGGGGAAACCCGGUCUAAUACCGGAUAGGGACGCCUCGUCGCAUGGCGGGGUGUGGAAAGGUUUUUUCCGGUCAGGGAGGGGCUCGCGGCCUAUCAGCUUGUUGGUGGGGUGAAGGCCUACCAAGGCGAUUACGGGUAGCCGGCCUGAGAGGGCGACCGGCCACACUGGGACUGAGACACGGCCCAGACUCCUACGGGAGGCAGCAGUGGGGAAUAUUGCGCAAUGGGCGGAAGCCUGACGCAGCGACGCCGCGUGGGGGAUGACGGCCUUCGGGUUGUAAACCUCUUUUACCACCGACGCAGGCCCGCGCUUCUGUGCGGGUUGACGGUAGGUGGGGAAUAAGGACCGGCCAACUACGUGCCAGCAGCCGCGGUAAUACGUAGGGUCCGAGCGUUGUCCGGAAUUAUUGGGCGUAAAGAGCUCGUAGGUGGUGUGUCGCGUCUGCUGUGUAAGUCCGGGGCUUAACUCCGGUUUUGCAGUGGAUACGGGCAUGCUAGAGGUAGGCAGGGGAGACUGGAAUUCCUGGUGUAGCGGUGAAAUGCGCAGAUAUCAGGAGGAACACCGGUGGCGAAGGCGGGUCUCUGGGCCUUACCUGACGCUGAGGAGCGAAAGCGUGGGGAGCGAACAGGAUUAGAUACCCUGGUAGUCCACGCUGUAAACGUUGGGCGCUAGGUGUGGGGACCUUCCACGGUUUCCGUGCCGUAGCUAACGCAUUAAGCGCCCCGCCUGGGGAGUACGGCCGCAAGGCUAAAACUCAAAGGAAUUGACG
rnacentral:rRNA from 1 species